AUUUGUGAUUGUUUGUGGUGAGAAAAAAUCAUCAAGAGUAAGCUCAAUCUUGCAAAAAGAGCAAGAAUAAACAAACCCUUCCCACUGAAUUUUGCACAAAUAACAACUACAGUUUUGAAGAUGAGUAGGUCGUUUCGGCAAGAAAGUAAGGGGAUGCUUACGGUGGUCGUAGGUGUGAUUAAUCUCAAGGGGUAGCUCUGCACAUUGUUUAUGAAGGUUAAAGAAUUCUCAGAAAGAGAACAAUCUGAACAAUGGUAAAUUGGACCAGAUAAUGGUUUCAUACAUCCGGAGCAAUCGCGAUUGACUUCUUCGUUAUGGUCUUGAAUGAAGAGCAAUGGAUGUUGAUGCAAAGGAGUAGGAAAAUUUGGAGCAAUGGAUGAUUGAAGCAAAGCACAGUUGAUGUGCAGAUCGAAUUUACAAGGAUCACAAUGAUAAACGAAUCCCGAAGAAGGCCUCUGACAAAAAUCACACCCCCAACCACCCUCGUAAGGAGAUUUAGGGAAAAGAGUGAGAAGGUGUUGAGGGUGGAAAGGAUGAUUAAGGUGGGGGGUUAACUCUAACUCCGCACAUCUUUUAUGAAGAUAAUACUUACAUUCGUUGCAGACAUAGGUUGGACCGUCUAUAAGUUUCCCACACACAAAGCAAUUGUUUUCUUCUUCACAUGAAACACUGUGAUGUUGAAUGAAGAACAAAGAAUGGUGAUGGCUGAAAUGUUGAAGUUCCAUCUCUCCCCUUUUCUUACACUCAGACACAGUGAGAUCCAUUAGACGAAAACUUGGCUCUGGUUAAGCCUCCUGCUUAGCAAAUGGCUGUUACUUUCGCGCAGAGAGGAAGACAGCAAAUGGGGCAAAAACAAGGGUGUUAAAUAUGAUGAAAACACUAAACUGUCAUUGCAAAAUCUCGUUGUUGGCUACAUUGUUAUUAUUGAAACAGAAAGUACCAUAUAAGCAUCAAAUUGGUCAUUUUAAAAUAUGUUUUCGAUUUAAAUGCAUGAACAAAAUGGGUACAAUAUAUAUAUAUAUAUAUUUUGUAUAGAGAUCGGCAUUGCACAAAGCUCGAAAGUAAAGAGCGAAACAGACAAACGAGUCUCAUGUGAAUAGCAAAUUGAGUCGGUAAGGCGAGAACCAGAGAGCCAACUGCAUGGUUGGAAUCCCUACUCCCGAGGAUGAGUUGUUGGGUUGGCCCUCAUUAUAUUAUUAAAAAUGAUUAAAAUAUCUUCUAUACAUAAGGCUCAACUUUAAAAUGAUUAAAAAUUAUCGAUCAAAAUAGCUCUUUAAAAUAUUAAAUUUAAAAUAUAUUUUGAUAUAAUUAAAAAUGAUUGCCUAAACAAUCCUUUUAAAGUAUAUUUAAUGCUUUGAUAUAAAAAGGUUCACUUUUAAAAUUUUAAAUUUAAAUAAUCGUGUUUAUUUAUAUUGAAACACGUUAUAUAUACUAUUUAAAUAAUUAUGUAUUUCCAAGUAUCAUUAAGAAUUUUUUUUAAAUAAAUUACGCUUUCUUUUUGCAAAUUUGUAGUUAAGUCACUUAACUUAAAAAAUUUUACAAUUUGAUCACUAAAAUUUAUAAUAAUAAAAAAUUAUUUCAACACAAUUGAAUUUUAUAUUUCAAUUAGAAUUUUUUGGUUCACUCAUGAAGUUUGUAAUAAUUAAAUAAAGAAAAAAGUUAACAUAUAAUCUUAAUUUUGUAAAAAAAAUAAUGAAAGCUUAUUUUUAAUUAUAUAAAAUUUGAAAUAUUUAUUUAAGUCAUCUCUUAACAUAUUUUAAUAUAAAUAAUAAAAGUAAAAAAAUUAAUUUUUUGUAACGAAUAUAAAAAAAUGUUGACAAUUAAGCCAUUAUAAGGGUCCGUUUGUUUGCCAGUAAAAUAUUUUUUGGAAAAUAAUUUACGGAAAAUGAUUUACUUUUCUGAUGUUUGGAUAAAUCAGUGUAAAAUAUUUUCUGUUGUUUGGCAGAUUUCCUGAAAAUAUUUUCUGGAAAAGCUAUUUUUAUAUAUAUUAAUUAAUUAAUUUAUAUUUUAAGUUGUUUUUACAUAUAUUACAAUGAUUUUUUUAUAAAUAAAUAAAUCAAAUUAAAUAUAUAAUAAUGCUCAAUUAUUAAGCUAGAAUAUUAACCGUCAUAAAUUGAAAUCAACCAAAGUUUAGAUAGUAACACAAUGAUUGGAGAGUAAAAUGCUAAAUUAUUUAAAACAUAUCAAAAAAAUAGAACUGGUUCAACCAUUACGACCCUACAAUGAAAAAUGGGUUAAAAGAGGAACAAUAUAUUACACAAAUUACAUACAUAUAUAUAUAGUUCAAAUUAACUACGACAAGAGAAGCUAUUGUAUCAAUGGACUUCAUUUUUUUUUUCUUAUUGUCCUUUGCUUGUAUCUGUAUAAACCCCACAAAGAAGAACUAGCAAUGGAGGCCUCAUGAAUGGCAGUCAAAAUUUGGUAUAUAUAAAUGGGGAACACGAUGCAGGCGAGGGAAAAAAGAACUAAUGAAGUGCUGCUUUGUUUUUAUGAGCAGAUAUUGGCUUUGGCAAUAAUAGGCUGCUGAAAGAGUAAAAUGACUGACGAUAUUUCAAAAGAGUUUGAUAGCAAGAAAAUAACAAGUUAUUGUGUUUUAGCUGCUAUUAGUUCCUAAUUCCCUUGUUAGCAAAAUUUCACAAGUCUUAUACAUGAUUCACUACUUACGUAACUAUAUGCCACUUUUAGCUAACUGCCAAUGACCGACUACAAGCAAGACGUUCACAAUAUAGAAUGCAGAAAUGGGCUAGGGCUGCAACACACACACACACAAAGAAAGUUUAUUCCAGUUCACUGCUACAGCUAUUUUUAAAUAUAAGAGCAAUCAUUUUCAACUUCUAUAAAAGUGGAUAUUCCAAAAGCUGUAAAGAAAACUCAUAAAUAAGGUCUAACAAAAAAAGAAAACCAAAGAUUCAAGGGUAAUGAUGAUGAUUAUGAUGGAGAACAAAGCAAACUCACCUGAUCCUGAUAAAGAUUAUCGUUGAAUAUGUCUUCAAGAAACCAUUGAAACACAAUAUCAAUGAAACCCAUAUCUUUUCUAAGAUAUUAAGCAACACCUAACACAUUUAUUUCAUCAUGCUUUGAACAACAAUAAACAACCAUAAGGCAGUAUGUUAACUCAGCAGAUCCUUCGACAGCCAGAAAUUUCAUCAAAAUUCCAUCACUCAUACCAGCAUAAAGAUCCAACAAAACAACCAAAGAAGAAAAUGUAAAGAACUCGCUACCAUUUAUUUAAUUAAGUAAAUAACAUAUGCAAUUGUUUCAUUUUUAGCAAGUUUAAAACAUUUUUAAACAGGGAAAUUGCACACUAAAAAAACUUAUCACGAAUGAACAAGUUUAGGAAGAAGAACAAUUCUUAUUUCUUCUAAUCUGAAUACAGCCUUUUAAAGAAUAGCAGGAAAAAUAAAAAAGGAAAUAAUCUUUAGAAAUUAGCCUAUCCCUAAAAAUUAGUAAUUAGAUUAUGGUUAAUAGUACAAGGAAAUUCCUAGAACUAAGGUAGAAAAUCUGCUUAAAUUAAGGAAUUCUAACACUCCCCCUUAAGCUGGAGUGUAGAUGUUAAUCAAACCCAACUUGCCCAUAGUUUUUUUGAACAUUUUUCUGCUCAAGCUUUUGGUUAACACGUCUGUUACUUGUUGUAUUGUAGGUAGAUAUGAAACACAAACUUCCCCUUUGUUAAUUUUCUCCGUAAUAAAGUGGCGAUCAAUUUUCACAUGCUUGGUAUGGUCAUGGUGUACAAGGUUAUGAGCUAUGCUAACUGCUACCUGAUUGUCACAGUAUAAUGUUAUAGGUUUUGUAUAGGAUAAUUUUAGUUCUCCCAUUAGCCGUUGUAACCACAUUCCUUCACAUAUACCGUGGGACAAAGCUCAAUAUUCAGCUUCAGCACUGCUGCGUGCCACAACAGACUGCUUUUUACUCCUCCAUGUCACUAGAUUACCCCAAACAUAGCUCCAGUAACCACUUGUGGAGCGCUUGUCAUUAACUGCCCCUGCCCAGUCUGCAUCAGUGUAAACUUCUAUUGUAAUACCCCCUACCCGUAUUCAUUGCCGGAAUAGGGUAUGAGGUAUUACCGGAGUUUACGAUUUUUUUUAUAUUCAAUAUAACCCCUUUAUAAAUAUUUAACCUUCCCUGCAAUAUUAAAUCGAGACCAAUCCACUUCAACCAAACCAAUUCAACAUAUUUUCAAGAUAAAUUCAUGCAUAUUUAUAAGAUAACGUCAUCACAUACCCAAAACCAAGUUUGUUAACCAUACUAAUGGCUAACUUUAUAUUCAUUUCAUGUUAACAUUUACUUUAUUAGCUUAUACAUGCCAUUGAUUUCCAAAAUAAAGUUUCUUUAUAUACCGAAAUCCUGAGGUUGAUAGUGUGAUGUGUCUCCGACCAAAUCUGACAUUCGAGCUCUUAACACUACAAAACAGGGAAAAGGAAAUGGGGUAAGCACUUCGUGCUUAGUAAGCUCAUGUAACAAGAAUUAUACUUACCUAAUAUUUUCAAUACAAUAUAAUAAACAUUCAUAUAUUCAUUCAAUGCAUUAUUGCCCUAAUAUGCACAAACUCAACAUUCAAGUUAGUACAAUAAUUUCCAUGUACCAAUAAUAUAUACCAUGAUUGAUGAGCUCAUCAAUAUUAUAAUUUCUAUUUCCUUUUUAUUUUUCUAUAUUUAUCCCGUUGAAUUUAUCGAAAUUUCGAUGGAUUUUCAGAGGUACACUUUUAGUGUACAAUUCCGGGUUCGUCAAUUCAUAUUCAUGUGCGCACAUUUCCAUUUCAAAGAGCACACUCCCGCGAACCUCAACCUUGCAGCGAGAUUACCAGUCCAGGCUAAAUCCCCUACAAUAUAAACUCAUAGAGUAUUGUCGGGAUUACCAAUCCAGGCUAAAUUCCCUACAACGACAAUUACUCUAAUGAGCUUGGAUCUGAAUUGCCAGUCCAGGCUAAAUUCAGACCCUAAUUCGGAUUACCCAUCCGGGAUAAAUCCAUUUUCCACAUAUUCUUCGGGAGGGCUAUAUCAAGAUAGGAUCACCCGUCCGGGCUAGAUCCUUUUUACCGUCAAUUCCUUCUCAGAGAUCCAUCGAAUUUUCCUUUCAUUCAGCCGGGAUUUCUUCCCCUUUUUAUCAAAUAUAUCAAUGUUUCAUAAAAUUUUUAUGUGAUGAAUACUCAAAUCAUAUUCACAUCAAUAACAUACAUUUCAAGUAUUUAAAAAUAUAAUUUAAGUUACACGAACUUACAUUGAUAUUUGUUCGUGUACAAAAAUCUACUAAUCCUAAACUUUUUCCUUUCCUCGAUCUAGCUUCGUAUUUGAAUCUUCUGUAUCUAAAUAAAUAAAUUUAAUUAUCAAUUUAAUACAUUUCAUGUUCAUAUGCAACAAUUUCUACAAUUUCUAUAAUUUCAUUAUUAUUAUUUAUAGUUUAUUCAAAGCUGUCUAUUUGAGUCAUAGUCACUAAAUUAUUUAUAACUCGAGAUACGGAACUCCAAAUUAAGAUCUGUUAAUUUUCUCUGAAACUAGACUCAUAUAUAUUCUAACCAUAAAAUUUUCAGAAUUUUUGGUUUAGCCAAUAAGUACAGUUUAUUCUUUAAAGUCACCCCUGUUUUGCUAUCUGACAGUUCUGACCCUUCUUCACUAAAAAUUAAUUAUCUCUUCAUACAGGAUUCAAAUGAUGUUCUUGUUUGUUUCUCUUAAAAAUAGACUCAUUCAGGAUUUUAUAAAUAUAAAUUUAAUCCCAUAAUUAUUUUUAUUCAAUUUUUUAUGAUUUUUCAAAGUCAGAACAGGGGAACCCGAAUUCAUUCUGACCUUGUCUCACAAAAUUCAUUAUAUCUCAAAAUUUACAAAUUCAUUACUUACACCAUUUCUUCUAUGAGAAACUAGACUCAAUAAAAUUUAAUUCCAUAUUUUUUUCAUCCCCUAAUUCGAAUUAUAAAAUUUAUAGUGAUUUUUCAAAGUUAGUCUACUGCUGCUGUCCAAUAUUGUUUUAGUGCAAGCUAUUUAUUACCAUUUUUCCCCUAAAUUUUUAAUAAAUAACAAAUUCUGACCUUGUCUCACAAAAUUCAUUAUAUCUCAAAAUUUACAAAUCCAUUGCUUACACCAUUUCUUCUAUAAGAAAUUAGACUAAAUAAAAUUUAAUUCCAUAUUUUUUUCAUCUUCUAAUUCGAAUUAUAAAAUUUAUGGUGAUUUUUCAAAGUUAGUCUACUGCUGCUGUCCAAUAUUGUUUUAGUGCAAGCUAUUUAUUACCAUUUUUCCCCUAAGCUUUUAAUAAAUAACAAUUUCAUCCCUACUCAAUUAGCCUCUCAAUUAAGCUGAUUUUUCUCAAUUAACACUUUAUUCUACCACCUUAAACUAGUUUACAACCUUUAGGAAUCAAAAUUUCAGCAAUAGACUUUAAUUCCAAACAUUUUCACAAUUAGGUCCUAAAAAUCAAUUUCUAUUAAAAUUACCUAAUAAAAUCAUCUCAUAAAAAAAUUAAAGCUUUAAUUUCAUUCUAUUUCAUCAUAAACAUACAGCACUCAACCAUGGUGACUUUCAAUUUCAUCCAUAAAAUCAAAAACUAAUGAAUUUAAUAGUAGGACCUAGUUGUAAAAGUCUUAGAAACACAAAAAUUACAAGAAAAAGGAAAGGAUUAACUCACUUGGUGCAAAAAUUAUGGAAUACCAGCUUAGAGAACCCUCCUAUGGCAUUUUUAUCUGCUGGAAUUGAAGAGAAAUGAAGAGAAAUCUAGAUAUUUCCUAUUUAGUCCUAGUUUUAUUUAGUUAAUUUUGCAAUAUUCCAAUUUUGCCCUUAAUUUAUCAAUUUUCCUGUUGAUUUCAUGCCCUUGCUGUCCAGCGCAAAUAAAUUUUAGGUCUAAUUGCCUUUUAAAUCCUUUCUCAUUAGACACUUAAGCUAUUUAAUCAUCCCAUCCACUUUUACAACUUUUACAAUUUAGUCCUUUUUAUUUAAUUAACUAUCCAAACAUUAAAAUUUCGUUAUAAUACCACAUUACUAACAUUUCAUAAAUAUUUAUAAAAUUAUUUUCGACUCAAUUUUACGAGAUAGAGGUCCUGAUACCUUAUUUUACCCAAUUUCUUCAAUAAUUUCUUUUUCUAAAUAACCAUUAAAUCGGUAAAAUUUUUCUAUCAAUAUUUUCAUACGAUUUUCCUAUCAUAUCAAUUUUCAUGCAAAAAUAUUGAAAUAAAUUUCUCUUUAAAUUGGAUUUGUGGUUACGAAACUACUAUUCCGAUAACCUUGAAUUUAGGCCAUUACAUCUAUGCUUCGAUUUACAUCUUUCUUGAAAUGCAACCCCUUACCAAUAGUCCCUUUUAAGGAUCUCAAUAUCCUGUAGGCAGCUUCCAAAUGUUUCUUCCUAGGAGCAUGCAUAAAUUGACUAAUAACACUUACUCCAAAAGCUAUGUCUAGACGAGUGUGAGAAAGAUAAAUAAGUUUUCCCACUAACCGUUGAUAUCUCCCCUUAUCUACCUCUUCUCCAUCCUUAUCAGUUCCUAAUUUAAGAUUGGGUUCCAUAGGAGUCUCGGCUGGUUUGCAGCCCAACAGUCCGACUUCAAAAAGUAGAUCAAGAACAUACUUUCUUUGAGAGAUUGAAAUACCUUCCUUUGACCUUGCUAUCUCCAUUCUAAGAAAAUAUCGAAGAUUUCCCAAGUCUUUAAGUUGAAACUCAAGACUUAAGAACUCUUUUAGUCUUUCAAUUUCACUAGAAUCAUCUCCUGUCAAUAUUAUGUCAUCUACAGAGACAAUGAGAAUACAACACUUCCCAUUAUUCGAAUGUUUGUAAAAUAAGGUGUGAUCAGCUUGACCUUGAGUAUAAUGUCUACUAGUCAUGGCUUUGGAAAAACGAUUAAACCAAGCCCUAGGGGAUUGCUUUAGUCCAUACAAGGACUUCUUUAACUUGCAUACUUGGCCCUUGCUUCCUUCAAAUCUAGGCAGCAAAUCCAUGUAGACUUACUUCGUUUAAUUCUCCAUUGAGAAAAGCGUUCUUUACAUCCAAUUGGAUCAAAGGCCAUUCUAAGUUGACAGCAAUUAAGAGAAGCACUCGAAUAGUAUUCAGUUUGGCCACUAGUGCAAAUGUUUCCUCAUAGUCCAACUCAUAUGUUUGAAUGAACCCCCUGGCCACAAGUCUAGCCUUGUAUCGAUCAAUGCUCCCAUCUGGUUUAAAUUUUAUGGUGAAAAUCCACUUAUAACCCACGGUCUUCUUCCUAGUAGGUAGUUUAGAUAUUUCCCAAGUUCCAUUGUUUUCAAGAGCCUUUAUUUCUUCCAACACAGCUUGCCUUCAUUUGGUUGACUUAAGAGCCUCUUCUAUGUUCUUUGGAGUUUCUACAGAGUCAACAUUAGAAACAAAGAUAUUGUAAGAUUUAGGCAAGUUUCCAUAGGAUACAAACCGAGAAAUGGGAUGUUGAGUGCAACUCAUAGUGCCCUUUCUUACUGCAAUUGGAAGAUAGAUGGAAGAUGAAGGAGGUGAAACUUCUUCCUCAGAACAAUCCUCAGGUAAAGAUGGCAUUGGCACUGCUGUUUCAGUCUCAGGCAACUGAUGUCUCCGAAAGUAUACAUGAAGCCCCUGAGUUUUUUCUUGUUGUUUUUCAGAAUGAAUGAGCUAUUUUUCUUCAUUAGUAUGGUUAAUCACCCUUGUUUCUUGUUGCUGAACAGUGGAGAUAGGAAAAACAAGGUCCAAAAUAGGAAUAACAGUGGCUGUAGGAUUUUCAGCAGGUUUUGUAGUGGUGGUAGGGCUGAUAGAGUCUUGAGGUAUAAUGAGAAGAUUGCUCAAGGUCUCAUCUUCACUAAGUAUCUCCCCCUGAAGACGAGAGGCCGAAAAAUAUGGCUCGUUUUCAAAGAAAGUAACAUCAAGGGACACAAACAUCUGGUGUAAGGUUGGAGAGUAGCACUUGUACCCUUUUUUGUGUAGGUGAGUAACCAAUAAAGACACAAGUGUGGGCUCUAGGAUCAAGUUUAGAUCGGUUAGGUUGAUGGUUGUGGACAAAUACUUUGCAACCAAAUGUUUUGGUUGGGAGAUUAGGAACACGAAACAAGGGAAAAAAUUUUGAAUAGUAUAUAAAGGUUUUUGAAAGUUUAAUAUCUUUGAUGAGAGUCGGUUUAUAAGAUAACAAGCAAUGAAGACUGCUUCUCCCCAUAAAUACUUUGGUACACCUAUAGUAAACAUAAGGGCACGAGCCACAGCUACAAGGUGUCUGUUUUUCCUCUCGAAAACCCCGUUUUGUUGAGGGGUGUCAGGACAAGAACUUUGAUGUAUGAUUCCUUGCUCAGAAAGAUAAGGACUUAGGAUAGAAUUAAAGUACUCUCUCCCAUUAUCAGUUCUAAGGGUGUAAAUAUUUGAAUUGAAUUGGGUUCGAAUCAUUGAAUGAAAAUUUUAGAAGACUCUAGAGACUUCAGAUUUUUCUUUAAGGAGAUAGACCCAACAAACUCUAGUGUGGUCAUCAAUGAAAGUUAUGAACCACCUAGCCCCUAUGAUGUUUUUUACUCGACUGGCUUCCAAUAGAUCACUAUGGAUUAAAGAGAAAGGUUGAGAUUGAACAUAAGGUUUCAAAAGAUAAGGGACACGAGUGUGUUUAGACAGUUGGCAAACUUCACAGUUCAAGGAACUUAUUUUCUUAUUUAGAAAUAGAAGAGGAAACAGUUUCUUUAAGUACAUAAAAUUCGGGUGUCCUAGUCUACGGUGCCAUAGCAUGAUAAAAUCUUCUUUUGAUGUAGAUAAGGCCAUCCCUUCUUGUGAACUGUUUUUGUCCCAAACAUAUAAGCCAUCAUCAACUUUAGCAGUGCCAAUCAUUUUCCCCGAUUCCUGUUCCUGAACCACACAACCGAAAGCAGAAAAUUCAGCAAGUACUUUUUCAUCCUUGGUAAGCUUGCUAAUUGAGAGUAAAUUACAGGAAAGAUUUGGAACAUGUAAAACUUUAUCUAGGGAAAAAAUUUUAGUAAGUUUAACUUCCCCAUUCCAGCCACUGGCGAGUAAGAUCCAUCAGCUAUGCGAAUCCGAGGCUGAUCAUGACAAGGUAAAUAGGUGUGAAACAAACUUAAAUUACCUGUCAUGUGGUCGGAUACACCUGAGUCUAGUAUCCAGGAAGUUGUGAUAGCUUCGUGUGUAGUAUUUAAAGCAACACCUUGAAUAGCUAGUGACCCACUGGUUGUAGGAGUCCCGAGUAGUUUAUGAAGAGCCUCAAGUUGAGUUUUGGUUAGCCGAACAUCUUGAGCAUCUUCUUCAAUAGUAGAUAUCAUUGCUGCCUUGUUUUCUUUCUGUUUUUUUCUAGGAUAGCCAUGGAGUUUGAAGCAUUUCUCUUUGGUAUGCCGAAUCCGAUUACAGUGGCUACACCAUGGCCUAUUUGAACCAGAAUCACUUCCAUCUUUGAACCUUUGAGAUUGUGGGCCUUUUGAAAUGAGAGCAGAGUUCUUGGAAGGAUGAUGACCAGCAAUGGUCAAUGGUUUUAGUUCUCUUGUGUCUCCCAACAUAAUAAGAUGUCGUUUCUCUUCCCUCCUUACUUUAGCAAAUGCUUCUCCUAUGGUUGGCAGUGUGGUUCUGCCUAGUAUUCAUCCUCGGACCUCAUCAAGAUCAUGAUUUAGUCCUGCUAGGAACUCAUAGAGACGCUCUUUGUUAAGAUGAUCCAUGAACUUGGUGUGUUCCGAGCCCUAGCCCAAAUCAGCUUCAUAAUACAUGUCUAACUUCUGUCAUAAGAUCUUUAGGUUGUUGUAAUAUUGAGUGACUUCAAGUGUUCCUUGUCGAAUAUCUUUCAACUUUAAUUUGAUCUCGAAUACUUGGGAAGCAUUUCCAAGAUCUGAGUAAUUCUCCUUGAUUGCAUCCCACAUUUCUUUGGCAGUUUUAAAAAAAAGAUACGUUCGGCUUAUAUGACCUUCCAUCGAAUUUAUAGGCCAAGCCAUAACCAUUGAGUUGUUAAGCUCCCAAGUUGCAUAACCAGAGUCUAUUGAUGCUGGUCGAGGAAUUUGUCCAUUAAUGUACCCAAUUUUUCCUCGGCCACGAAGAACUAUAAGGACAGAUUGUGACCAUUGCAGGAAAUUUUUUCCAUCUAAUCGAUAAUUUGUGAUUAUAAGAGAAGAGUAAAGGUCACCUUGUGGGAUUUCUUGGCUGUGAUUUUAAGUUAUUUGUGAGAUCUUAGUCUCAAAAGAAUUUUUAGUGUCACCCGUGGGAGUAGGGUUUCUAACAGAGAAAACAGAACAAGAAAAGAGAAGGAAGAGCAGGAUCAACUGGAUUCCUGAUGCUCUUGAUACCAUGAACAAGUUUAGGAAGAAGAAUAAUUCUUAUUUCUUCUAAUCUGAAUACAACCUUUUAAAUAAUAGUAGGAAAAAUAAAAAAAGAAAUAAUCUCUAGAAAUUAUCCUAUCCCUAAAAAUUAGUAAUUAGAUUAUGGCUAAUAGUACAAGGAAAUUCCUAGAACUAAGGUAGAAAAUCUGCUUAAAUUAAGGAAUUCUAACAACGAAGAUUAACAUGUCGUAAAUAAGCCCUUUGGAGGUUUGUACCCUUCAAAUUCGUAUUGCUUAAUUUCGCACCCUGAAGCCAUGUUCAUCACAAUAAACUUAAUCACACUAAACAUGUUGGGUCAAAACAAUUCAUUCAAAUGUUUAUCAAUAACAUCGAGCUUGCUAGAGUUAUCAGGAUAAGUUGUCGCACAUAUCAAAUUAAGUUAUAGAACCCUAGUAUUUUCUAUUUAGGUUCCUAAUGAUAACUUCACAUAAAUAAAAUGAUACAUGUGCUAAAGCAAUUGACUUGUAAACGCCAUGCUUAAGGGUCUCUUCCCUUCAAAUUGGCUCCUUCAAGAUUAGCUCCCUCUAAGUUGGCAUCAGUAAGAUCAGCACUCUAAAAGUCUAGAUAUUAAGCAUAUUAAUAGUUUACAAUAACACAAUUGACACACUAAGCAUAUAAUUUUAAUUUUAAUCAUUCAACCGAACCAUUAUAGCUCAAACAAUCACGAAUCUGAAAAUAUUAUUCCAACAAGCUUAAGGAAUUUAUAGUAACCUAAGAUCUUGUAAUUUCCUACUUUAUAUAUGCACAUUCUAUUCAAUUCAAUGAACCACAUUUGCUUGUUGAUUUUAAUUUAGUGAAUCACCUAUAAGUGUGAAGAACGAAGAUCGGCCCCACAGAAGCUACAAUCUAUCAAAGAAGCAUCUGCAACAAUGUAAUUGAUGAUGAUACAUCAAUAUUUAAACCUUAACAAUAAAUAGUAACAUUUAGCUAAGUUACUUGGACACUAGUCUGAAUGUCCGCUAUGGAUAUGUACAAUUUUUCUAUUUCAGGAGUUCCAUGUAUUUGAAGAGUCUUUAUAGGACCGUAUCUCUAUAUCUAUAUCCAGACAUGUGUCUACCAUAAGUAUUGGACUUCGGUACUUCAAGAAUAUAGACAUUUAGUAAGAAAUCUACUAACUAUAGAAAGAUGGCAAAUAUUUUCCUUGAAGAUUUGCACUCUGAAGAUUCGCCCCAGCUAGUAAAACCCCACGAAGAUUUGCCCCUGUAAAUUCACACCUUCCUUAGGCAAAAAAAAAAAACCGUUGCAAACAAAGUUCAUAAGAAAAUGUACUCUCCAAAAAGAAUAAAUAAUUCUGAGGAUCUUACUCGCGCAAAGUUGCAUUGUGAAAAUUCGAACACACAACAUCCACAUCCUGUUACAAAAACAAAGAGGUUUAUUAUAAGUAUGGGCUUAAAUUUAAUUAAAGCAUUUACAGUUAAUCACAUACUUCACUUCAGAAUCAGACAUACCCGAAAUUUUGCACACUGAAGAUUUACACGUGAGAAAAAUACGUUUUUGAGACAGGCAAAGCUGAAAUCCACAAAUGAAAGUUCUUGCACAAAUAAAUAGGAAAAACUGAGAUGAUGAAUCCAAAGUGCAAUAACAAGCGGCAUUACAUUACUUCUGCUUCUUCAUUAGACUUGAAGUUGAACCACAAGGGAUCAAAUGAUAAUAAAGAGAGACAUCAAACAUUCGGAUUAAAAAUAAAACACACACACAUUCAACAAUCCAAAAGAAAAUGCCACAAAUAACCACCAUCAUCAUGGAAUAGCGAAAAUGAGAAAACUAGUAUUAGUGCCAACAAGCAUGCACAAAAGCUACAAACAGAAGAUCAAUGAGACCGAGUCUUGCUUCCUGCGAACAAUGAUUCUACUUCUCGAAAAUAAGAGUUUCCCACAAGAUUUUGUCAAAAAUUUGGGAUCAGAAAUUAUUUACCAAUUUAGAGAUAUCAAUGCCAAAAAGGUUAACUCCUCGAAAUUUAACUCUUUCAGACUGUAUGCACUUGAUGAUAUCGGUACGCGUCAAUUCUGCUGGAGACUUUUCAUCUUCUUUCUUCUUAUUAAGAACAGAACUGAUUUCUUAUUAAGAACAGAACUGAUUCCUUCUAUUAAUCCCUGAAUCAUAUCACAUAAUACUGUCACUGAACAAAAUUUCAAGAGAUCAUACCAUGAGUGCAAAUAACAAUCACCUAAAACUGUUGCAACGAUCGAGAUCCAAGCAUUUCACACGAUGUCGUUAGUAGGAAGGAAGAUCGCUCUAUAAACAGUAGCACUGGCGCCAUAACCAACCUCUUCUAGAAGCUUGUAAUCACUGGGAUUCGCUGAGUAACUCUGACUUCCUCCCAUUCUCCCAAAACCUAAAGCCUUAAACCGCCUUUUGGAAAAAGAACCAAAUCACUGGCAGUCGAGUAAUCGACGUUGAAUGCCGGCGGCAGAGUAAUUAAAGUAAAAGAAUCGUAGUGAAAAUCAAAAAGGCGGUAAUGAAGACUAGAAAUGUAUAGGGUUUUUUUCUUUUUGUCAAUGAAACUACUGCUGAUUGUUUUUGAUACAGAGAUGAAUUAUCGGUUGGGGACGCAAUGAGGGGAAAGAGAAGGAGAAGGAGAAAGCGUUUCAAGAUGCUGGGAUGUGAAGAGGAAACCGAAUUAGAAACUGUAAGACAUUUUCCCCAAAAAAACACUUCCUUUUCCCGUAUUUUGUAAAAUAUUUUACGGUGAAAAAUCAUAUCCAGCCAAACAAACAAUAGAAAAUACUGAAAAGGCUUUUACAGCUAAACAAACGGAGCCUAAAAGUCAUAUGGAUAAUGAAUUAUUGAUAAUAAAGACCAAAUAUUAAUAUAAUAAAUUUUGAAAAACAUAAAAAUUAGAAACCAAAUAAUAAAUUUUCAAAUUUUAAUAAUUAAAAUAAAACUUCUCAACAAACUUAGUGGUGAAAACUAUAAUUUAGAUUUUAUACUUCCAAAAAUAUAAUAGCUUGUGGACAAUGUUAUGUUACAAGUUAGAAGGUGUGGCAAUAUCAGAUAUCAUUUAAUAUGUAUCAUAACAUUGACAUGCUAUUCAAUCAUUAAUCUCUAACGAGUAACCAUAAUUUUUAUAUUCUUAACGUUAGUGUCAAAACGAAUAAUUUUAAUAGUUGAUUAAUAAAAUUUAAAUAUCUUAUUUAAUUGGAUGGUUGUUUUCAUAAUUUAUUCCUAUAAGCAACAUAAUGAAAAAUAAUUGAUAGAUAAUAAUAAAUGAUUAAUAGUAACUAACAAAAUUAUUUUAAAGAUGAUAUCACAUUCAGCAUAUCUGGAAUGAAAAGAGUUAUCAUUAUUUUUUGGUGAAUUAUAAUAACAAUGCAAAACCCAAACAAUAAACGCAAUUAGUGCGACUUGAACCCAAGCCACAUUUAAGGUGAUAAACACCCUUAACCAUCAAGCCAUUAGAUGGGAUUCAAAAAAGUUAUCACUUUUAACAUAGUAAUAAAAUCAAUCAUUAGGGUCUCGCUCAUUCUCAUACAAAUCACAGGAAUGCUAUGAAGGGUUAGAAUCAUCAAAAUAACUUAGGGUAAAGUGAAAUCACAAAGCUUCACGCAUCUGUAUGCCAUGUUCCAUGGGUCUCCUUUUCUACGACAAGCGCAACAAUUCACCGAGGUAUUAAAACUUGAAAUUUUUUCAUUAUGUUUAUGCUAAUAUCUUUGUAUCACUUUUUAAAGGAUUUUAUGCAAUGAAAAGUGAUAAAAACGAAGAAUAUAUCUUGCUAAAGAAGGAAUUUUGAAGAGAUGUAGUGUAAUUAUCUUUUCUUAUUUAACAAACAUGCAAUCAAACGUAUUUUUAUUUAUCUCAAAUUGUAUAUCAAUAUUAAUGGUGGUUGAUAUGGGCCGAAAAAUUUUAGAGAUUUUAUUCUCAUCACACUAACUUGAAAAAAGUUUUAGACUAACUUGAAAAAAGUUUUAGUGUGAGAGUUUACUCAUUAUAGUUGUACGAGAGUAAUGCUGCAACAAGCAUUAAUUAAAUUAAACUUAAAUAGUCUUUUAUAGUGGAAUCUUCUUUAAAAAAAGUCACAUACAUAUAAAAUUAAAUCUGAAUUAUGUAUUCUUAAUUAAUUUUUAAAAAAAUUUUGGAGUUAUUUCUAAUAAUUACAACUCACAUAACAUACUCUCUUUUUUUCCUGCUCUGAAUUCACCAGCUGUGUUUUUGGCACCCAAAAAGACUAAAGUUUAAAGAAGAAAAUAUGCUAUUUGGGCUGGAAGACUUUGCCAUAUGGUAGCUUUAGUUGAUAAAAAGAACAAACAAAGGCAAGAACACAAAAAUCAUUUGGGAUUUAAAAUUUGGUGGCUGCAGAAUUUGAUUCUUAAAUAUAACAAAGGAAUGUAAUCGUGGGCUAAAAACGAGUUCCCCAUACUAUUAGUUGCUGUUGUAUGCCUCUUUUCUUCUAUCAUAGCUUCUAUAUUAUUUUCUCUUACAUUCAAUUUUUAAUGUGUUUCUUUUUCGGCCAUUCAAUUUUUAAAAACAAAAUCUUAAUUAUUAUUGUUAUCAGCAUUUUAAUCAUCCACCGAUUAAAUUAUUAAUGGAAUGUCAACAACAACCAUAAUAAUAAAUUUAACUUUCCUAUAUUUAUAUUUUCUAUUAAUUUAAUCUUAUUUCUAAAAAUUUCAACAAGUGAGGUUGAUGCUAAAACAAAUGAAAAUGAAAUUUUUUUUAAAGAACUUUAAAAAAAAAAAGUUGACAUAUGACAAAAUUGACCCUUAAAGUUCUCAUAAUUUGUUUUCUACUAUUUUGUUUUAAAAGAAUUUUCAAAUAUAUAUAGUAUUUAGAGAUAAAUCUCAAAAUUAUACAUGAACUUUAAUUCAAUGUGCAAUUUGAUACAUCAACUUUAAUUUGGUGCAAAUGUACAUAUGAAAUUUUGAUUGUAGUUCAAAUGUAUCCAUGAAACUUUAAUUUUGUUUCAAUCAUACACAUUUAGAAAAAUAAAUACAUCAAUUUACUUUUAUAUUGGGUUAAAUAUAGUUAUUUGUAUAUGCAAUAUAUAAAUAUAAAGUGGUGUUAUAUCAAUAAUUGUAUUAAUAAUUUGUGAUAAUUAAAUCAAAUCAAAUCAAAAUUUCAUGUAUAAAAUUGUAUAAAAUCAAAGUUCAUGUAUAAAAUUACAUAUUAAAUCAAAGUCCAUAUAUAGUUUUGAGAUUUAUCCCAUAGUAUAUAGUUUUUUAACUUGGAACUUAGUCAUAUUGUCAACAGGUUUGUGAUCAAUUUAAUUUUUUAAAAUUUAACGCAAAGAAAUGUAUUCGACCUAACUCGACACGAAUCUCACUUAACUCAAUUUGAUUCGAAAAAAAUUUAAAUUGAAUUAGGAUGAUAAAAUAAGACGCCUCAACUUGAUUAACUUGAAUUCUUUUACUCAAUUCGACUUGAUUCGAUCGGAUGCUUACCCCUAACUGAGAAUAUUCUGAAUUCAAAUGACUAAAUUAAAAUACCGCAUCAUCCUCACCAAAAAAAAAAAUUUCUCAUUGUACUCGCGACUUGAGUAUUUAAAUUAUGCCGGUGAGUUGGACGGAGGCAUAAAAACUUCAAAUUCAACGAUUUCGACCUGAUAAUCAAGAAAAAUUGAUACAUCUAUCUCGUUCUGUUGUCAUUUUUAGAUGAAUGAUAUAUAUAAAAACAACUGUGUUUUUAUUUUAUUUGUAGAGUUAAAAUUAUUUAAUUUUAUAUAAAAUUAUUUUGGUUAUUAGCUCAAUGAUUGGGAAACCUGAUUUAAUAAGAUUUUUUGCAAUUUGUUACAAAUUGUUAGAUUUCUUAAUACAUACUUUAAAUGAUUUAUUGACCAUCCUUCAACAAAUGUAAUUAGAUGCCCAUCGAUGUAACUUCCAAUCGCCAGCUUUGGCAGUUUUUACUUAGCAAGAGUAAACUACGAGCAUUUGAACUUUCAAAAUUACUAGAUAUACUAUGGAUAACUUGGUUCAUUUUGUGACAACAUAAUUGGAAUAAAGGAAAAGUACAUAUUCAAGAGAAGUUUAAAGUGAGCUAUCAAAGUCUCGAUUAAGCUCGAAAACUUGCUCAACUCCAUAAAAAAAAAAAAAAAUCCAAAAUCCAUUCAUACACUCCUAUAAUUAUUCCCUGCAAUUUCUUUUAAUGUUUGGUAGAAAACGGUACUAACCUUGUGGGAGUUCUGUUCAUUCAUAUACUCUGUUCCAUCCUUGAGCAGAACAUAACAACCCAACAAGAAAACAUAUGAGAACAACCCAAUAAAAAAACAGAUGAUUAACUGAUUACAGAUUGUGUUUCAUCUAAACAAACUUCAAGUGCUCAAGCAUUAAUAACAUAAUGAAAAGCAAAAGGCAUGAGCGUUGUUGGCAAAUCGGCGCACCCAUGCUAAUACUAAUAGAUCUGUGGAGUUGAAACUUGUUUGUUUCACCAAGGCGAACUUGGAAUAUCAUUCAUUAGAGUUGGAGAACCUGGGAAGUGUUGCAGCGCAAUCCCAGUGGAUGCUAAAGUUGCAUUCAGAUUCUUUACAUUGUAGAGCUUGUCCAUUACAAACCUCGCCGCAAACUUUACAUGGAGGGCAAUCCCAUAUGUUUUUCACAAUAGUGAAUGGAUGUGGGUGAUUAUGAAAAAGACCCUUGUAAAGGUUGCUUCCAAUCUUCAGAAAUGGGAUAUCCCCAAGAGCACAUUUGGAAUGGAGAGUGUUAUCACAUUCAGCACAGUAGUAAAACCAAUCAUUUGGGUCCCUUUCAUGCUCACACAGAUCACAAUAAUGUUGAGAAGGAUCAGAAUCAUCAGAACAAGCUAGAGUAAGAAGAUGUCUAUCAUACUUAUACCAAGCUGUGAGAGGUAACGUGGCACAAUGUAGAUCUAAUAUGAAAUCACAACGCUUAGUGCAUCUAUAUGCUAUUGCCGAUAAGUAGUAAUUUUCUCUACGACAAGCAUUGUAACUCGUUGAAAAGUUGUGGAUAAGGAACAAUAAAUGCUCGUGACUUGGAUGCUCCAAAGUGUCCGAUAAUAAAAUACACCGAAUGUCACAUUCAAAUGCGCAACCUUUAUCAUCGCAUUUGUAGCUAAAUCCAUGGUAAAAACGUCUGCAAGAACUACAUAAUGGAUAAACACUUGUGUUUGAUUUUUUUAGCAUAAGUGCGUGCUUGUGAAAUGGGUGUCGUUUUUUUCUCGACAAUUCAGCGCAUUCUUUAUGGAGAAAAAACUUACAUUGCUCACAACUAUAAAAAGGAGUUGAGAUAGGCCUCAUACACCCAUCACAUUGGCCAUCGUCGUUCAUCUCCCCACUAAAAGUGAGUCUUAAAUUAUGAUCAUGAUAAGCAUGUUUGAUCUCAACUGCUACCGUAUUCUCUCCAAAACUCAUUUGUUCAACAACAUCGGUAAUCCAAUUUAUAGAUUCAUCAAGAGCUACCAUGGACCUCUCAUCAUAGUCUUCAGGGAUGCUUUUUCCAUCCCAAACUGCUUUAUCUGUUGCACAAUGCACAUGAGCAAUAUAAUUGCAAUCAGAAGCAGAGCAAUGGUAACUGCCAUACCUCGUAUCGACUUCCUCGUAACAAAUUCUGCACAACUCAUCCAGUUGCGUAAGAGAAUAUGAGUGAGAAAUAACAUGAUGAUGUCGCGUUAUCAUGAUAUUCUGUGGCAAUGAAAUGCAAUUUUUAUGGACAAGAAGGUUACAUGUAGCACAGAGAUAAGGGGUGCGAUCUCCAGUGGUGCCACAAAAAUCACAAAUAAAUGACAUUUGUCUUGAUAGAAGCAUCCAUGGGUGUUCAUGACUUGCAUUCGUGAUUGUUUGUGGUGAGAAAAAAUCAUCAAGAGUAAGCUCAAUCUUGCAAAAAGAGCAAGAAUAAAUAAACCCUUUCCACUGAAUUUUGCACAAGUAACAGCUACAGUUGUGAAGAUGAGUAGGUGGUUUCGGCAAGAGAGUAAGGGGAUGCUUACGGCGGUCGUAGGGGUGAUUAAUCUCAAGAGGUAGUUCUGCACAUUGCUUAUGAAGGAUAAAGCAGCGUUUAUCUAAACAAUAGUAAAUUGGACCAGAUACUGGUUUCAUACAUCCG
rnacentral:lncRNA from 1 species